AUUGAACGCUGGCGGCAGGCUUAACACAUGCAAGUCGAGCGAGUGGCGGACGGGUGAGUAAUGUCUGGGAACCUGCCCGAUGGAGGGGGAUAACUACUGGAAACGGUAGCUAAUACCGCAUACCAUCGGAUGUGCCCAGAUGGGAUUAGCUAGUUGGUGGGGUAAUGGCUCACCUAGGCGACGAUCCCUAGCUGGUCUGAGAGGAUGACCAGCCACACUGGAACUGAGACACGGCCCAGACUCCUACGGGAGGCAGCAGUGGGGAAUAUUGCACAAUGGGCGCAAGCCUGAUGCAGCCAUGCCGCGUGUGUGAAGAAGGCCUUCGGGUUGUAAAGCACUUUCAGCAGGGAGGCGUUACUCGCAGAAGAAGCACCGGCUAACUCCGUGCCAGCCGCCGCGGUAAUUC
rnacentral:rRNA from 1 species